CCAAAGCAAAAGAAAAUUAAAACCUACUGGCCUAAAAGCCGACAACAAACCCAUAUUUUGUAAGGCAAACCCUUUCCCAUUCCUUCAAUUCACCCAACCGACGAUUCCAAUCACAUAGUUUGAAGGAAGAACGGAUUGAAGAAGCAAAAAAAAAAAUUGUUUUUUUCUUGUAGGAAGAACGGAGUUGUAAGAAGAAUCCCAAAGACUCUGAAAAUGGGCUUGUCCUUUCGUCUACUGAGGAAAACUUUUCACUUUCUGGAAAAACUACUUUGAUGAUCAAGAAUAUACCUAAUCAAUUAAGGUUUCUGUUGAAAAUCUCUAGAUACAUGAGGACGCAAAGAAGUUCUCAUAUCAAACUGGAGUAAAGGUUGUAGUUGCCUAUGGUGGGGCUUCAAUUUACUGGCAGGUUCUGGUUUUUUACAACUGAAACUGAAAUUAUUAUGUUGUUUUGACAUUGGCUGUUAAUUUAUCUUGACAUCAUUUGGCUAAAUUCUAAUCAAUGUAUUUGUUGAUUGUAAUGUUAGAAUGGUUUAAGUAGAUUGUUAGAUUGUAAGGUGACAUGAUGGCUCCAUUGGCUUCUUGUUGAGUUUUUGUGGCUAAAUAGUGAGGAUAGUAAUAUCAUUAUCUUUGGAAUGGAGUUUCCGUCCUUGCCUAUUUGAUUUUCUUCUAUAAUGGAAGUUUUUGUCUCUGGUUUCUUGA